rnacentral:rRNA from 1 species
CCAACCACAGAAAAGCCAUCUCAGUUCGGAUUGUAGUCUGCAACCCGACUACAUGAAGCUGGAAUCGCUAGUAAUCGCAGAUCAGAAUGCUGCGGUGAAUACGUUCCCGGGUCUUGUACACACCGCCCGUCAAGCCAUGGAAGCCGGGAGUGCCUGAAGUGCGUGACCGCAAGGAGCGUCCUAAGGCAAUACCGGUGACUGGGGCUAAGUCGUAACAAGGUAGC